GCCCGGGUGUCUCAGUUGGUUAAGCAUCUGACUUAGGCUCAGGUUAUGAUCUCACAGUUCGUGGGUUUGAGCCCCACAUCGGGCU
rnacentral:tRNA from 1 species